GCCGGAGUAGCUCAGUGGUAGAGCAACUCUUUUGUAAAGAGAAGGUCGUGGGUUCGAUCCCCUCCUCCGGCU
rnacentral:tRNA from 1 species